GACGAACGCUGGCGGCGUGCUUAACACAUGCAAGUCGAACGGAAAGGCCCUGCUUUUGUGGGGUGCUCGAGUGGCGAACGGGUGAGUAACACGUGAGUAACCUGCCCUUGACUUUGGGAUAACUUCAGGAAACUGGGGCUAAUACCGGAUAGGAGCUCCUGCUGCAUGGUGGGGGUUGGAAAGUUUCGGCGGUUGGGGAUGGACUCGCGGCUUAUCAGCUUGUUGGUGGGGUAGUGGCUUACCAAGGCUUUGACGGGUAGCCGGCCUGAGAGGGUGAACGGCCAGAAGGGGAGUGAGAGAGGGACCAGACUGCUACGGGAGGCAGAAGUGGGGAAUAUUGAAGAAUGGGCGGAAGCGUGAUGCAGAAACGCAGCGUGCGGGAUGACGGGCUUCGGGUUGUAAAACGCUUUCGCAUGUGACGAAGCGUGAGUGACGGUAAUGGGUGAAGAAGCACCGGCUAACUACGUG
rnacentral:rRNA from 1 species